GGUCCAGUUUUUCCUAAAACUUAAACGUGAGAUAACACUUGCAGCAAAAUGAAGAGUGUAUGUGUUUUUCUAUUCCUCAGCUGUCCCCUCAUUUGAACUCUGUAAUUACAUCUUAACAACCAUUGACUCCUUACAUCUACCCCUAUCCAUUUUUAGUAAUGAUGCAAGACAUGGAUUUUUAUUUUUUUCCCUUUUUGGAUGAUAUUUAUUUAAAAAUAGCAUUUGGGUCCUUCUUUUCCCCUUUAAAAGUAGAAUUGGACCUCAUUUGCACUUGCGUUUGUUUUUAUAGACCUCUGAUCAUACACUUUUCAGUCACUUUUCACAGUGAGCAGAGUGUGGCAGUCAGCAGCACGGGAGCAGGAAUCCUGUGCUCUACAUUCGAGCUGUGUUGAGUUUUCAGAGGCUCAGUUAGCAUCAUUGUGGGGUGACAGUCCUCAGCCUGCCUCCUACAGCUGUCACAU
rnacentral:lncRNA from 1 species